UACGUAGGGAGCAAGCGUUGUCCGGAAUUACUGGGUGUAAAGCGCGUGUAGGCGGGAGGCCAAGUCUGCGGUGAAAUCGCUCGGCUCAACUGGGCGGGGUCCGUGGAAACUGGUCACCUGGAGGACGGUAGAGGCGAGUGGAAUUCCCGGUGUAGUGGUGAAAUGCGUAGAGAUCGGGAGGAACACCAGUGGCGAAGGCGGCUCGCUGGGCCGGACCUGACGCUGAGACGCGAAGGCGUGGGGAGCGAACGGG
rnacentral:rRNA from 1 species